CUGAAGCUGGAGAGGCUACAGAAUGCUAAAGCUGCUGAAGAAUAAAAUAAAGAGGAUCCAGCCACCAGCUGCAGACAGGAGAUAGCCUGCCUCUCCAGGUGGAUGACAGUCAAGUGAGUGCAGCUACAGAGGAGGAAGGGAGAGGGAGAGAGAGACAGACAUGUCUGAACUGUCAAAUUCUCCCAGCAGCUCCAACAGCGGGAGAAGCUGUCAGUCCUGCAGACACCAAGGUCAGUGAAGAAGAAAAAGGAGGUGGUGAUCCAGGUCCUAAAGCAGAGAUUCCCCUGCAGCCUGCAGUGAAGACCAUGGUGACACAGGCUGUCCCCCUGCAGCCCACGGAGGUCCAUGGCGGAGCAGAUAUGCACCCUGCAGCCGAUGGAGGACCCCUCGCCAGAGCAGGCGGAUUCACCCAAAGGAGGCUGUGACGCUGUGGAGAGGAGCCCACACUGGAGCAGGUUUUCUGGCAGGACCUGCGGCCCCAUGGGAGUGACACCACACUGGAACAGAAGAAGAGCACAAAGAAGGAAGGAGCAGCAGAGACAACUUGUGAUGAACUGACUGCAACCCCCCGCUCCUUCUCCCCCUGUGCUGCUCGGUAGGAGGAGGUAGAGAAGUCAGGAGUGAAGAUGAGCCCAGGAAAAAAAGAGAGGGGUGGGGGGAAGGUGUUUUUCAGAUUUGUUCAUAUUUCUCAUUAUUGUACUCUGAUUUUGACUGACAAUAAAUUAAUUUCCCCAAGUC